AGAAGCCCCAGCCACGUCCCCCAGCCUCCCACGGGGAACCAGAGGAAGGAAGGUGUUCAGCUGGGCAGAACUGACUGAUGGGCUCCAGCGACCUUUCAGGAGACUAGCAAAGGCCUCCCAGGGUGAACACCGUCGGAUCCUGGAAGCAGGGGAUUAAGAGAGAUGCUCCAAGAAGGAAGAGCAGCAAAUGAAGGGUGUCUGGGAGCACUACCAGCAUGUCAGAGUCUUGAAAUCUGGCCCGUGGAAGGAGCCCCAGGGAGGUGAAGCGAACAGCCAGUCUGUGGGCUGACUCCGGGUCCAGCAGCCCCUGCAGAGUCGGCAUCAGGUGUUCAGCAUAGAAACGCUCAUCUCCCGUGGCCAUCAGAUGCUGAGUUAUUCAUUCAUUAGUUCAGUCAUUCAUCAAAUACUGAUUGAGCAAAGAUGGCAAAACAGAUCUUGCCCCUACCCUCAUGGAGAGUGUGAUCUUAUGAAGCGACAGACAGAAAUUAAUGAUCAUGCAAAUAUGUAGUCAUAGCAACUGUGAGGAAGGAUAAAAAGUAUAAGGUAAUGGAAGUAUUCAACCUAACCUUAGAGGUAAGGAAAGGCUUCCUUAAGGAAAUGACUUAAAGCUGAUACUCAAGGGAAAAACGAGUUGAUGGGGGUCUCUCUGAACCUAUUCUGGUUCAAUUAUUUUAAAAAAUAGUUAACCAGAAGGCAGUAGGGAGAGGAAAAAGUGUAAAGGCUCUCUCAGUAGCAGAAGAGAAUGAGAAAGGGAGAAAGUGUGGAACAGAGGAGUGAGGGGAAGUAAGGCUUAAGACGAGGCAGGAGAAAGGAGUCUUGGCCAAAUAAAGAUUUGGGUUUUGUUCCCUAAGCCAGGAAAUGACACGAUCAGAUUUGCUUUUAAGGAUCCUUCCAAACUGCUAAAGACAUGUAGAUCAAGUAUUCAUUGGCUGGGCGCGGUAGCCCACGCCUGUAAUCCCACCACUUUGGGAGGCUGAGGCGGGAAGAUCCCUUGAGGCCAAUAGUUCUAGACCAGCCUGGGCAACACAGUGAGAUCCCAUCUCUCUCCAUUUAUUUAUUUUAAAAAGGGACUCAGGCCGAGCGCGGUGGCUCACGCCAGUAAUCCCAGCACUUUGGGAGGCUCACGAGGUGAGGAGUUCGAGACCAGCCUGACCAACAUGGUGAAACUCCAGUCUCUACUCAAAAUACCAAAAUUAGCCAGUCGUCGUGGCGCGCGCCUGUAAUCUCAGCUACGCAGGAGGCCGACGCAGGAAAAUCGCUUGAACCCGGGAGGCGGAGGUUGCAGUGAGCCAAGAUCGCGCCACUGCACUCCAGCCUGGGCGACAGCGCAAGACUCCAUCUCAAAUAAAUAAACAAAUAAAAAGAAA